GGAGGGCUAGACCUAACUGGUAAGGCAGCGGUCUUGAAAACCGCCGGGCGCAAGCCCUUGGGGGUUCGAGUCCCCCGCCCUCCG
rnacentral:tRNA from 1 species